rnacentral:rRNA from 1 species
UACGAAGGGGGCUAGCGUUGCUCGGAAUCACUGGGCGUAAAGGGUGCGUAGGCGGGUCUUUAAGUCAGGGGUGAAAUCCUGGAGCUCAACUCCAGAACUGCCUUUGAUACUGAGGAUCUUGAGUACGGGAGAGGUGAGUGGAACUGCGAGUGUAGAGGUGAAAUUCGUAGAUAUUCGCAAGAACACCAGUGGCGAAGGCGGCUCACUGGCCCGAUACUGACGCUGAGGUGCGAAAGCGUGGGGAGCAAACAGGG